AAAAGCGCCGAUAAAUCCAAUCCAUUAUUAUUAUUAUUAUUAUCACCUCUUGUGCUUGGUUGCACAUAAAUUUGUGCGAAUAACAUCAGUCUUUUUCAAGAUCGGGGCUUUUCUAUUGGCUUUAUCUCCAUAGCAACCACUGUAUUUCUUGGUUGCCUAACGCCGCGUUCACACUGGACGCGGAACAGAGUCCGCUUCCAUUUGGCGCUCAUGUUGUCUUAUGGCGUCGUUCACACCUGGCGCGGAGCAGAGGGCCCGCGCGGUGCAGCAGAUCGUUUCUGUGUCUGCUCUAUUUUGUCCACGAGCGUUCCGCGUCAAUUUGACAAUAUUUAAGUAAAAAAUGUGUGAGCCACAGAAAAAACAUCACUUUUGUGAUCUUGACACAGUAACACUGCUACAAAUCUACAACUUCUGAUUCCAAUUUUUUUUCUUUAAGUAGUUUUUAAAUAUUGCUUGUGUCAUGGCAGCAGCUGCCCUGCUGCUAAUCAUUUGAUUCCCUCCACCUGUGCCUGCUCCUAUAAAGCUCUGCCUCUGCCUUUCACCCUUGCUGGAUCGUUGCACUGCAAGCACUCAGAGGACUGACCUACUCUGUUUGUUGCCAGCCAAAUCCUGUUCUGCCUGCCUGCCUGCCCUACUCAAGCCAACCUGUGUUCCUGCAUCUGCUCUAGUCCUCAUGGUGCCUGAUUCUGCCUACCUCUUCCUGUCUAUCUGCUGCAUCAUUUUACCCCAAGCCUCUUAAGUCCCCUAAACUUUGAUUUUUGGAGCUUUUCCCAGAGACCUCUGGUGAUUAUUAUUUGGACUGAAAAACAAGUUUGUCACUGAACCCCAACUUUCUGAGUUUCCUCGCCCUCCUGGCUUUCCCUCGUGUCAUUACCAUUUGUGUCUGGAGCCACGCCUUUCCUUUGCCCUCAGAGGACUCCACUCUGUCUCUACAGCCUGUUCUCCUCAUCCCAUGUCCGUGUAUUGGCUGCAUUGUUCUACACCAGGGGGUCCCCAAGACAAAGACUUAAUAAAUCUGGUUUCUUGAA